rnacentral:rRNA from 1 species
UACGUAGGGGGCAAGCGUUGUCCGGAUUUAUUGGGCGUAAAGAGCGUGUAGGCGGCCAUGCAGGUCAGCUGUGAAAACUCGAGGCUCAACCUCGAGACGUCGGUUGAAACCGUAUGGCUAGAGUCCGGGAGAGGAGAGUGGAAUUCCCCGGUGUAGCGGUGAAAUGCGCAGGAUAUCGGGGAAGAACACCUAUGGCGAAGGCAGCUCUCUGGGACGGUACUGACGCUGAGACGCGAAAGCGUGGGGAGCAAACAGG